UACGUAGGGUGCAAGCGUUGUCCGGAAUUAUUGGGCGUAAAGAGCUCGUAGGCGGUUUGUCGCGUCUGCUGUGAAAACCCGAGGCUCAACCUCGGGCCUGCAGUGGGUACGGGCAGACUAGAGUGCGGUAGGGGAGAUUGGAAUUCCUGGUGUAGCGGUGGAAUGCGCAGAUAUCAGGAGGAACACCAAUGGCGUAGGCAGAUCUCUGGGCCGUAACUGACGCUGAGGAGCGAAAGCAUGGGGAGCGAACAGG
rnacentral:rRNA from 1 species